UUUUUUGGGGUUGGCUUUGAUGCCAUGCUCGGACACUAUGUAUCCGAGCUGCUUCCCCUUCAGAACCCCAAAAGUGCAUUUUUCAGGAUUCAAUUUUAUGCUGUGGGUUUCGGUGGCUCGAGCUAGUCGGGCUGCUGAGACGGACUGAUCUGAUCGGCGAAAUAUCUCUGCAUGCAACGCUGGUAGGUGGCGCCAAUGUUUUUCAGGCCAAAUGGCAUGGUGACGUAGUAGUACGUGCCGAAUGGGGUGAUGAAAGAGAUCGCGAGCUGGUCGGGCUCUUUCGUCGUGAUCUGGUGAUAGCCCGAGUAGGCAUCCAGAAAAGAGAGGAUUUUGCAUCCCAAUGUGGAAUCAACUAUCUGGUCUAUGCGCGGUAAAGAGAAAGGGUCCUUGGGACAUGCCUUGUUACAGCCAGUAUAGUCAACACACAUUCUCCAUUUUCUAUUCUUCUUUUUUACAAGGAUGGGAUUGGCAAGCCAAUCGGAGUGAUACACUUUCUUGAUGAAACUAGCUGCCAAGAGCUUGGCGAUCUCCUCGCCUAUGGCCUUGCGCCUCUCAUCAUCGAAACAACCCAGGUGUUGGUGCACGGGCUUGGAACCCAGCCUGAUGCGGAGCUCUUCCUCGGCGAUCUCCCUCAGGAUGCCUGGCAUGUCAAAGGGCUUCCAUGCGAAGGCAUCAUGAUUGGCAUGCAUGAAGUCGACGAGCGUGCUUUCCUAUUUGGUUAGGAGCUGGGUCUCAAUCCGCACGGUCUUGGUCAGGUCGUUGGGGUCGACCUCGACCGCCUUGGUAUCCUCGGUCGGGAGGAAGGCGUUGAACGAGGUUGGCUCAUUGCGGUCGGGAGUGCCCUCCACCACCAUUUCGUGAAGCUUCUCGAGCUCGGCGGAGUUGGUGAUGAUGGUGGAGAUUCGAAGUGCUGGCGGCUACAGGCAUAUGCCUGUUCGAAGGAGCCGCUCAUUGUGAUGACACCAUUCGGUCCUGGCAUCUUCAGCUUGAGGUAGGUGUAGUUGGGGACCGCCAUGAACUUGGCAUAGCACGGAUGCCCGAGGAUGGCGUGGUAUGACCCCUCAAAAUCCACCACCUCGAAGAUCAGGGUCUCGGUGCGGAAGUUGCUGUGCUCACCGAACGUGACUGGCAGGUCUAUGUUCCCCAGGGCGUAUGCCAUCAUGCCAGGGAUGAUACCGAGGAAGGGGAAGAUGGAGGCGAGGAGCUUGGACCGCGAGAUGCCCAUGGCGUCGAGGGUCUCAACAUACAAAAUAUUGAGGCUGCUGCCCCCGUCCAUCAGCACCUUGGUCAGGCGCUUGUUGUCGAUGAUGGGGUCGACAACGAGCGGGCAGCUCCCUGGUCGGGGAACGCUGGGAGGGUGGUUGCCCCGAUCGAAGGUGAUUGGAGUGCUCGACCAACAGAGGAACUUGGGGAUGGCGUUCCUAGCGGCGUAGACUUCCCAGAGGUGGACCUUAUGUUGAUGCUUGGAGCAGUCGUCCUCAGACCCUCCGAAGAUCAUUAGGCAGCCAUUCGGCUUAGGGAAGCUGCCCCAGUCCUUGGCCGGUGCCCCCUUAUUUUUGGGUGCCUCGUUGCGGUCCCCGCCCUUGCGCUUGCUAGGCUGACCCAGCAUGCGCUUGAGGAGCUUGGAGUCCUUGAGCUUGUGCUUGACGGGGUAGCCGUGAUUGGUGCAUGGCUUUUCCAGGAGCUGCUCAAAAUGGUCAGCAUUGCCCUGUCUCUUGCCCACGCGGUCGACCGCCGCGACCGUGUUGGGGUUGUGACGACGCCGGUCCUUCUUCUUCGUUUUCCCCUGUCCUGAGGAGGGGCCCUCAUCCUGGUCCUCCGUCUUGGCCUUGCCUUUGGCCCAACCAUCGGUGAAGACCGCCCCGACCGCCUCCUCGCUGGAGGCGUGGUUCGUGGCAAUGUCCAGGAGCUCGCGGGUGGUGCGUGGCUUCCGGGAGCUGAGCUUGUGAAUGAGGGACUUGCAGGUGGUCCCAGAGAGGAACGCACUGACAACAUCUGUGUUGAUGACGUCAGUGAGGGAAUUGCACUGCUCAGAGAAUUGGUGUAUGUAGUCCCGGAGGGAUUCGCUAGGCUCCUAUUUGCAGCUCUUGAGGUCCUAGGAAUUUCCAGAGCGCACAUAUGUCCCCUGGAAGUUCUCAACAAAGACCUGUUUGAGCUCGCCAAACUGCGGAUGGUGUUGGGCAGCAAGAAUUUGAGCCACGCCCGAACAUACUCCCCGACACAGAUGGGGAGGUACUAGAUGAUGAAGUAAUCAUCAUCAGCUCCUCCAGCCUGACAAGCGAGCCGAAAGUCUUCCAGCCAUACAACGGGGUUCAUCUCCCUGGUGUGCUUGGUGAUGUUCGUGGGCGGUCGGAAGCGCGGCGGGAAUGGUGCUUUUUGGAUGCGACAACCGAAGGCCUGCGGGCCCGGGCCGUCCUGACUGGGGCUCCUGUUGCGGUCCUAAUCACAUGGUCGGCCACCACGCCGUGGCGCGCCUCCUCAUUCUCCCCUCAGGUUGCUGGGCAUCAGACGCGUCCACGGUGGCCCGGUUGACAUCGGCGCCGCGACGGGCUAGUUGUCACAAGUGGAUGACGUUGUGCGCAUCGUAGUUAGGCCCGAGCCGGCCACGCACCAGCGGGUGCUGCGAGGCAGGCGCCGGCUCGUGGCGCGGCAUAGUCGCGGCAUCAUGACCUGCCUGAGGCGGACGCCCAUGCUGCUGGUGGACUGAGGGGUUUGGCCGCUGCGAGCCUGCUCCCCCGAUUGGGUAGGAGGCCGCGUGUCGGUUGCGCGACGCGGAGCUUUUCGAUUGCUGCACGGUGGCACACUCCACCAACGUCCGGAUGUUGCGGUGGAAAUCCCACCAUUGAGGGUCCACAGGGUCGGGCAGGUUGCACAGAAGCAUAGCUGCGGCGGCGAUGCUCUGCCCAUCCCGCGCAAACUGCGGGGCGCCAUUGGCCUCUGUGAUGAUGGCCUGCUGGACUUGAUAGGCGUGUGCCCGCGUGCUGCGCGCAAUGUUACAAGCAUUCGGCUUGGAGUUGCGCCGAGGGUGCACCGACGUAGGUGACGGCUGGCGCUGCCGCUGUUGGUGCACCUCCUCGCCGUGCGCCUGGGUGUUAGCCAGGGCCUACGCGCGCCGGUCUGCCAGGGUGUUCGUGUCGUUGGUCUCCACCGGGACCAGCAGUCGCCCCUGCACAUCCGCCAUGGCGCAUUCUUGCAGCGUGGGACAGUCAAUGGGCAAUAGGUCGCCAACACUUGACCCUUCACUUAGGAGGUCAUCGUCAGAGAAGAGAUCAUGGAAUGAGGCGGGACUCUACCCCAUCGUGCCCACAAACUCGGUCACGAGCGGGGGUAGUGGUAUGGUCCUCCGGAGCUCCCUAGCAUGAACACUCGCGGCGUUCGUGAGGCCAAACGGGAACCAACCGCGCGGUGAGUGUGGUGGGGACAACGGGAUCCCUCUGGAGAGCUAGUGGAAGACGUUGCAUAGUGAGAAUAGGAGCAAGUCCACUUCACUCGCUGGGGGGUUGGCGCCGAGCAUGAGCUCGACGCGACGCGCGAGCACCUCAGUGUCGAGGUCAGCCAGCAGUUCGAUCGAGGGAGUGUUUACCUUGAGCGACAUCAGUGGAGUGGCCUCCUCGCAGAGGCAAAGCGUGCCGAGACGAUCAGCAACAAAGUCCAGGCUUCCAAAACGGAAGGCCUGGAAGGGCGUGAAGAUGGGAGGUGCCCACAGCCCAACGCGCGGGGCCUUGGGAAACUCCAACGAGCUGAAGCAAAUCAUAUUGCCUAGGCUCGUAAAGCUGGAGGUAUCAGAGAUGAAGGCCAUCUGAUCGUCGGGAUGGUGAAUGCACGAUGUCCUACCCAUGGACGGUGCCAAACUAUCGGUUUCAAAAAUAACUGGCAGCUAAAUCUACUCAAAGUGUUUGUCGCACGUUGUGAUCGGAGGUGGCCUAGCACACGAUGACUCAAGGUUUAUACUGGUUUAGGCAAUCAUGCCCUACAUCCAGUCGAGGGCCGGUUGAAUGUAUUGCUUAAGCCCGGGUGCUCGUAAGAGAUUAGGGAGUUACAAGCUUUCGAGUGAGAAUGGACGAUGAGUCUACUUGUGGAGCAAUGAUGCCCCUUUCCUAAACGGAUGACCCUCCCUUUUAUAGUCCAAGGGGGGCCCUCCUUACAAAGGGCUGGUAGAAAGAGAGAGAGAGAGAGAGAGAGAGAGAGAGUUUCCUUGCCCCGCGGGUCGGGAUCAUCAGCUCUGUCAGUCGGGACCGCCAACUCCAUCAGUCAGAGUCCUUGUGCGGCCACCGUCCAAGUCUUGUGUCGCGGAGUGGCCGUCUUGUUCUGCACCUGUACGUCGUGCUCUGUCGGUCGGGGGGCGGGUGUGCGUGGGUAAGUACGGUAUGGUAGUCACGCCUCGUCCCAGGCACUACGCCCUGUCACUCCGUCGUGAUGGGAGCGUGUUCGCCGUAUCGCGAUGAUGUCGCUCCCCGUCCCUUUGCGAGGACGGGUAGGUGGAAUAGUGUCCCCCUACUGUGGUAGCAAGGGGGACUGUAACCCCCGUGGGGGGAGUGGUUGGCCCCGUACAGCAAGUUGACUUCGGCGUGUGUCCUUAUCCGCCACACUUGCUCCUGCAGCCUGCUAGUACGCAAGGUCCGGCUGGCCUCAGCCUCGCCGGUCGGGGAUAGUGACGCCUGUAAGGCGGAGCCCGGUCGGAGAUCUUGGUUAGAGCUGUGGUACGGACCCAGUCCCCGAGCAUCCCCUCGGUCAGGGACGCAAGCCAGAUUUUCUCCGACCGGGCGGCCGGUUGGGGUCACGGGCCCAAGCGGUCUGGAUGAAGUCACGGCCCACGAGGACGGUCAUCCGUUCUAGGCGCGGUUUUGGGCCAGCUAGAAUGCCAGUGGAAAGUGGGCCCGCUGGGGACCCCGGGUCCCUGGACCCGUCACCUAGUCACAUCGAGCCUCCAUGCAAGCAUUCGCGGAAACGGCCCUCCACUCCUCUUUGACUCAUGCUGCCUAGCGCUGCUGUCACCUAUGGUUUAGUGGUUCUAAUUUGUGUUUGUUGCAAUUGAUUCAUGCCCGAUGAAUUGGUGCAUUCAGCAUUUGGUCCAGUAGUUCGAUGUAGCUUAUUUGUUUAAUUUUAGGCAUAAAAAAGAUUGAAGGUUAUUGAUUUGAAAUCUUCGUGGACUAGAGUCGCAAUGAAACCCAAAUCAACUAUAGCUAGUGCCUGCACACCAAUACUGCAAACUACAGAAAGCAGACUGGAUUGAGGAAUUAUUCCUACAGUAACAUGUACCUUUUAUUUUCAUAAACCUAUACGAUGGAUGAUUGUUCAAUUCGCUAAUAUUUAUGUACAUCCAAUGUUGAAUUCCUGCAUCCGCCACUGGGCAGACGGCGAGGCACUGGGCAGGAUGACCAGAUGGAGAUGGUGGCUUAUGAAGUUGAUGCUUAAAGAUGCUUGAAGCUCAAAAUGGAACUUGGAAAUCUGUUUUUUCUUUCCUUACAUGAAAUUUAUGCUUAGCUCUCUCACUAGAUCUUCUGCUAGGAGUAUAGCUUUUAUACUUUGUAAACUGCUGAAGUAGUAAGCUAUGAAGUUUUGAUUGUUCUGAUAGUCCUGGCAACCCUUUAUGCAAGGUUUUAAAUCUCCCGCUAGCCUCCGCUAUAGCUAUUUGAGGUAGGGUACGGCUAUUUGAACUCAUAUAUCAUUUAGCCGCUAUAGCCUGCUAUAGCCUCAUUUAGCCCGCUAUUAGCUGUUUUUAGAGUGCAGCCACUAAACCUCUUAGCCUGCUAUUUUGAACCAUGCCUUUUAUGUGACUAGAGAUCAGUGUGAUGAGGCGCAAAGUGGUGAGAACUAAUUCUUUUUGUCAAACUCAGUGUAGUUUUGUUGUUUCUGAAAUUCAGCUUCACCCACUCUUGAGAAAAGAAAUUUAAAGGAAAAGGAGUAAGUUGCACUAAUCAUACAACAUUUUUGGCAAGUCGGUGCAAAUUAGUCUAACAACUUGCAAAGUACUCAAUUUAGUUAAACAUCUGGUCCAAAAAGUUGCUACGACGAUGUAUUUGGCUACGCUAGACUAUGAGGUGUCAAGGGGGAGAGUAGGGCUGGUAUUCAACUUUUUUCUUGGGCGGAGGGGCAUUUGAAUGAAAUCUGCCAAGCAAUUUUUGAUCAAUCUUGUGGGAUGAAAACUUCUCGAUUCUCUCAACUCAGGGUGGGCAUUAUUGACCGAUGACCGAAAACCGAACCGAAAUACCCGAGAACUGAACCGAAUUACCCGAAACUGAAAAAAUCGGUCACAAAUUUGGUCCUCAGUUCUUACUAACCGAAAUAAUAUCGGUUUAUUCGGUUCUACCCCUCGGUUAACCGAAUAACCUGAACUAACCGAAAUCUCAAAGAAGCCUAGAAACAUGUUGCAGCCCGGCCCAUAUAAGAAAACCCUAACUAAAUAUAUACUCAACACACCAUGAGGCCCACACUCACAACCAUCCACCGACGGCGCUCCUCCCCAUGGGCGAGCAGAGGCGGCGCCCGGGGCGCUCCUCCCCCGGGCGAACGGCGGCAGCGCCCGGGGCCUCCUCCCCCCGGGCGAGCGGCGGCGGUGCCCAGGACCUCCUCCCUCGCGGGCGAGCGGUAGCGGCGCUAGGGGUCUCCUCCCCCGCAUCCUCCAGCGCAGGCGAGCGGCUGCGGCGCUAGAGGCCUCCUCCCCCACGAGCGAGCGGUGGUGGCGCCCAGGACCUCCUCCCCCGUGAGCAAGUAGUAGCGGCGACCGGAUCUCCUCCCCCGCGGGCCAGCAGCAGCGGCGCUAGGAUCUCCUCCCCCGCGGGCCAGCAGCGGCGGCGCCAGGAUCUCCUCCCCCGCGGGCCAAGGGUGGCGGUGGCGGUGAGGUCAAGCACAAGAGGUGGCAUGGUUCAUCUGUGUUUAUUUGUGUUCAUCUGUGUUGAUCCGAUUCAAUUUGUGUUCAUCUAUGUUGAUCUGUGCUUCAUUAUGUGUCGAUUUGUGCCUCCUCAUCUCUGAUUUUUUUUAUGUAUUAUCUAGUGGCUCGGUUAGUUCGGGUCGGAACCGAGACCGAACCGAACUAACUGAGACCGAAAAUCCUCAGUCUUGAUAAAUUCUAGGAACCAAUCGGUUCUUAUUUUCGUGGAACCGAAAUUCCAAAAUGGCUGAAGAAUCGAUCGGUUCGGUUCGGUCUACCCGAACACCCACCCUGACUCUCAACUCCCUAUAACACUAACCUUGUUCAGUCUAGCAUCGGAGGCAAAAGUGUGGAUGUAGAGACGUGAAGGCGUGGAGGAAAAUGUAUAGCAUUAUUGGUUGAGCUCGAGGUCAUGCUAGCAAGAAAUCAAACUAAGAAAUUCCUAGUAGAUCAAAUUAACAUUAUAUAUAAAAGAUAAGUUCUCUAAGCUCUUAAUCUUAUGUUCUAUGCUAAGUUGUUGCAUCAGAUUGAGCAUUUUUAUAAGUUGUUAGAUCAAUCUGCACCCACCUGCCAAGUUGUUGUAUGGUAGGUGCAAAUUACUUAAGAGAAAAUAUAGGAUAGGAUUGAGCAUGCCCUAAGGAAGGUCGUUGUGCUAGCUCAUGGGAGGCAAGACUCCAGAGGAUAGUUUAGACCAUCUGAAGGUGCAUCUAGGCCCACUAAUGUGUUUUCUGAAUUGAAUGACAAAAUGGUUAAAGGACUAAUAUGUUUGCUAAUGAUUUGUUGAGCAGGGGUUUACAUGUAAAAGAAUUUAUGGUGUUGGCUCAUAACACAUGCAAUCAUACUGAGGCUCAUAUUGUUAAAUGACAAGCAACAUGCAACAUGAAUCAGAGGCAAGGGUUCAUGCAUAUUAAAGAUGGUGCCUAUCUAUAGCUUGUUAUAGUAGACAAUCUUUAGCUUGUUAUAGUAGACAAUGUAAGAUUAAAAUUGUGUGAUUACAAACAAGACAAGAUUCAUUUAUUUAAAUCUAAGAAUCAAAAUAUAUGAGGACAUGGAUUUCACAUGGCAAACAAGUGACUAUGCAACAAGGGACUAAGCAAAGUUUGGUCCAAUGAUGACUUGGGCCAUAGAACCUUUGCUAGGGUGAAGUGGCUAGUACUUGGGUAAUUUUGAAGCAUCAAGUCAAGUUUUGGAGAGUGAAGCAAUAUGUAGCAUCAAAUUAUUAUUGAAUUACAUGGUAGAGUGGUUUAAGAAUUAAGAGAAGUGACAUUGAUCAUGUGUGAUGGAAAAAUCCUAAGUCACUAGCUCAAGAUGGAAAUGCUCAAGAUGAUAAGCAAUGUUGAAAGCCCUCAAAUUGAGAAAGAUAAAGUAUGGCAUGAUGAAGACAUACACGCUCAAGUGGUUGAAUUGUAGUUUCUAUUAAAGCAUAGGUAUGUCGUACUAUCAAUAGGGAUGCAACAUUAGUUGGGUGACUACACCAAAACUUCUCAUAGGAUUACCUAAGUCAGUUGCAUUUGAGGGAACCCACUAAUUUACUAAUUUUGAGCAACUUGGGUGAACCAAGAUUUCGUUUCGGUCCACCAGGUCGAGCUCUCUAACUUCAGGGUGUUCUGCUCAGGGGCAAACCGGUCUGACCGGUUUGGGAAUCAGCCAUCUGCACAGGGCUGGUUAGUAAUGGCUAGUUUAGUUUGAAAACUAUCUGAUCGGUUGAGGAACUGGUCUGCAUCUUACAUCUAACGGCUAGUUUUUAAGAGUGGGGUAUUUAUACACCUUUGCCCUCUCCUUCGAGCUUGAGGGCUGCUGGUUCUCUUUGCAUUUUGAGCUUUCUAAGGCCUUUCCCUUGACCAGCAAGCUCUCCCCAACCACUUUUUGUGAGUUGUGCUAACUUUAGUUGCCAAUCUUUGAGUUGGGUUGAGGAGUGAUUGUGUGUGAGCAGUAGAAAGCAUUCCAUAGUUUAAGAACUUGUGGUUGAUGUCAAGACAACUCAUGAAGUAUUUGUUACUGUUGGAGUUGAAGUCGGGCUACAUAACAAGACAAGGUCUUCAAUGGGCGAAAGCCUGAUCCAAGAUGUAAUAUUGGUGCUAUCAUGUUGCUUUGGGCUUCUGUGAUCGUGGUAUGUACUAACACAUCACAAAAGGAAAGAGAUGAGAGGAGACUUGAAGGGUUGCUAUUAGUGUUUCUUAAAAAAAAUUUUCAGAAGUAAGGGGAAAAAUCAUACUAAAUUCUAAAGGAAAGAAAAUAUUUCAUGAACUUACUAAAAGGAAAAGGUUCAGAAAGGAAAAAGGGAUUACGCUAUUUAUAUAUAUCUAAUUUUUACCCAUCCUACUUGAAUUGCUAUUUAUCCCCGCCAAAAUAAAGAGCCUUGUGUGCUAGAAGGAAAGCAUCUAGACCUAACAAAAUUAAGUGAAUACCUGAAAUUGUAGCUUGAAGAGUUAUUGAUUCGUGUUGCCAUUUCUCGAAUUGUUUGUUGACAUGAACAAAGUAAGGAAAAACAUUUGAAAGAAUUUCCAUAUUGGCCUUGGACAUAUAAGCAACCUACAGAUCAAGAAUAUGCUUCAUUGUUCCCACCAUCUAUAUGAGAUGUUUAAUAAGAAUAGGAAUCGAAUAAGCUGCUGAUUGACUGAGGAAGCAUUUGAAAAGAAAGGAAGGGUGAUGCUUGUUAAACAAAGCAGUGUGUGGGGCCACCACGUAUAGCUGUAGUUUUUGCAAUAGCAUUGGUUAUUUCCAAAACUAGAAAGAAAAUCAUUUGUGGCUGAUCUCUCCUAAGUCAAACGGGAUGAGAAACAAAUUGUAGGCUUAUUUCCUAAAAGCGGUGGUUCGCAUCCCUUUGUCAUGAGGUGGGGGACUAUGUUUUGGAUCUUUUUUGAUCGAGCGUGCAAGCGCGCACUUCAUAUUAACCAAGAAGUUCCUCAGAGUUUUUGAGUCCCUAUCUUCAUGUACCGAAAGGACAAAGAUGAACAAUAGGAGCAGUUCGGGGAGAAAGUAGCGCUUUUGGGCACAUAACUGGAUAUCAAAGGUGGGUCUCGAAGCUGCCAUCUCCAAUUAGUUGGUAGAAUUCUUUAAUCGAUAGGUGAGGUGGAAAGUAGGUAAUCACAUUCCAAAGCAAGGAGUUAGGAUCGACAAAGUUUGUCGCCCCCACCGCACUUACGGCUCUAUACCCCAACCCAACUUGCUCCGGCCUAAAAAUCUGCAUGUUGAUGGAAUUCCAUUUUUUCAUACUUCAUUUUUUGUGGUACUUUUAGUAGAUUUUACAGCCAACUUUCACUUCUAAAGUUCCUUCUUUUUUUUUCAACAACUCACCAAAAGCAAUGAAGCAAAUGUCAUUGAACGGUGCGCCUCAGGCAAAGCAAUGGGUCACCUCGUCACAUAAUUACAAACAGGGACCCAACUCUUAUGCCAGUCCGAAGGGCAUUUGAGCUGGAAGGUAGUUUGAUUCUGAAGUUGAGUGAGGAGGCGAACCACGUGACAGUAAGCAAAACGUAUAUUUUGACUGCUCAUGCCAUCAGUAGUGGGUAUGUUCCAUUUCAAAUGUUGGGGAACAUCACUUCUAAUAUGCAGUUCCCGAAUGGGAACAGACUUGAAACCCUUUUUUCCUAGCAUUUCACCCCAGCAGCUUCCCUCUAUAUUAAUAAGUUCUUCCAAGCAAUCACUGAUAUUUGGCACUAGUGUGUUAAGCUAACAUUUGCUUGUGCGCUCCCUAUCCUUUAGAUUGGCUUAUAAGAAAAGUAAGGAAGGAGGUCGCGGCAUGUCAAGCACUGGAAAGGUUCUUCACUUUGCAUCAAAUUAAACCACAUCGAACCUGUAGUAGGAGUUUUUUUUCUUGGCGGGAUGACUCUUUCAAGCAGGCACAUAAUGGACAGCGUGGGAAUACCCCCCCCCCCACCCCCCCCCCCCAAAGAAAAAGGAAAAAAAUAAGAGGUGGCCGGCCGGUGUUUCCCCAGCUUUUCAAUCCUAGCGGGAAACGGAUACCCAAUUUAAAAUGAGUAAACAAAAUUACAUACUCGAUCUUAUAGAUCCCUAUAGAAUUUUGUGGAAAGCUAUAUUCGAUGAAAGUUAUUCGUAGUCAAUAUGCAUUGGAAUAAUGGCAUCCCCUGAGCAACCCGGUACCUUUUCUUAGGUGAGCAACUAAGACGAGGGCUUUUAAUUAUGCAUUCCCUAUAGAAGUAUUCCAUAAAUCUGUGAACAACUUCCGAAUAAAAAGUUUUUGAAGUCAAACCUAGCGGUCUUGCGAUGAUAAUUAGUCCAUAGAUGUUACAAGCAAGAAAGAAGAAAUAAGAUAUCUAUCACCUAGUCUAACUCUCUGCCUCAAAGAUGGCUAGUUGUCACCGGUUAUUAGCUCCCUAGCUCCCAAGCUUGUGGUGAGCAACGGCAAGUUUGGGCUGGGAUCUUGCCCUCAUAAGGGAACAUAUCGCAUCUAGUGGAAAACAAAGUGCGGUUGAAAUAGAUUGAAUUCAAGGAAACGAGUUGAGAAAGACUCGAGCCCAAGAAGUUUCUUAGCAUAGGCGUAGGAUUCACAGUGGUGGAUCUCAAUUUCAGAAAACAAAUCCUCAUAUCUACAAUUUGGCCUGCCUCGCUUCAUCUUCUCUAGCACUUGUUAAUUCAGCAUCGAUCUAUUAGAUUGUGCUUGUUCUGUAUGGAGGAACUUGUUGGAACCACUAGAAAACACCCACAGAUGGUCACCACCAAAUUUGGAUUGUGUUAGAGCUUUUAGAGGGAAGUUACUCUAAUUUAUUGUGAUUCUCUAUUGCAAACCGGUCUAACCUAUUCUAGUACUAAUAGUGUAUUAAGUUUUGUAAUUUGCAUAAAAGCCUAUUUGCCCCCUCCCCUCUAGGCGACAUCUCGGUCUUUUCACCUUCUCUAGUGGGUAGUGGGAAGUUAAAUCAAACUCUCAUUGUAUGUGCACACAUAUGAAGCGAAUCAUACCACUAGAGACACCGAAGCAUCCUUGGGAGCAAUAGAAAGGUUCAAACCUCAAUUGAAAAUAGAAAUUUGAGUACUAAAAAGUUGAUAAGCGAUGGGCAUAGUAGCCGGUCGCAGGGUUGGCUGAACCCUUUUUUAAAGGAUGUGGGAGGGGGGGGGGGAGAGAGAGAGAGAGAGAGAGAGAGAGAGAGAGAGAGAGAUGAAGUUACUUUUGGAACCUGUGGAAUAGUUUGGUAAGUGAAAGAUAAAUAUAUUAUGUAUAGAUUUGUCCAUGAAUUGACUCAUCACUAGAGUUUUUGAAAUCUAUAGACAGGCCCUAACCAGAAGACCUCCCCCAACAAUGUCACAUGUAUUAGCUUUUAGAAUUGACAUCAUCUUAUUUUUCUAUAUGGAGGAGAGAGUAAGAGGAGAUAGAUGAGCUAAGUCUUGAUCAAGGGAUUGUCUCAACACACCCUUUUGAUAUAUGGCGGGCCAACACUUAACGUCUCCUCCAUCACUUUAACUUUGAUGAGUGUGUGAAAGUCAGACCAAUAAAAAAAAAGAUCUUUUAUGCUAGCUCUUAUUAAGACUAAUGUGACACAUGGGCCAUAGAGCUACUGCACCAGCUUAACUGUUGGAGACCUAAGAAUAACUGUUGGAGGAGACCAAAGAAUGAUGCUAGUAGCUACAGCAUCAAAGCAAUCUCAACAAUUUUACCGAUUUUCAUUUAGUUAACUAUAAUUGAAAUUUUAUUGUACUAUAGACUUUCAUUGAAAAUAUAGUAGAAAAAGUAUUCACAUCUUUUCAAAAAAAAUAUGAAAAACAAUUUUACUGAUUUUCAUUUAGAUAAUUAUACUAGAAAUUAUUAUGAUAUUAUUGACUUUCAUUAAAACUAUACUAUAAAAGUAUUCACAUCUUUAAAAAAAAUAUGAAACCGCAGUAGCGACAUUCAGAAACAGUGGACAACGCAACCAUCUAUAAACAACAAGCACCGUUCGUUAAUCUGACACUGCUUUCCAAAAUCUUAGGUCACACUAUCAACCGCAAUAAGCAUAAGGGAAUGUGACCCAAAACUCUGAUAGUCUGAUAACCACUGAACAAUACAAAUCUAGCAGUGACGCAACCCGUUUAAGAGAGAGAAGGAAUAAAAUGUUGGGUCUAAACCCACAUGUGUUGCUUCACUAUAUUUUCAGAGUUUUGUGAAGUUCCAGAACUGUAAUUACAUUUCAAGUCACUGGAGCGGCAGCCACCAUUCGGAGGUUUCGUGGAAGUUCAGGAUGAAUCUGGGCACGCACUACAGCAUAUCCGAGAGGGGGAGGGAGGGAGGGGGAGGGAGCGGGAGAGAGAGAGGGAGGGAGGGAGGGAGGGAGAGGGGGGUGGGGGGGGGGGGGUGUUUGGAGGAGGCUCUAUAGCUUUAGCUUUGGCUGCGGAAAAACCUGUCUCAUCUCAUGAAUCCUAUAUCUGGCUCUGAAUAAACCUGCAAGGAACAUACCAAAGAAAAACAUUCUUUCUUUGAUCUGUUAUAAACCAUAUGGUCACCCACGUGCGAAGCUGUGUGCAUUGGCAUUGGCAUUGGCAAGCAGAUGUAGCUCAAGUAUGAUUUUCUCGUCUCCCCCAAUUUGAUACUCAGUUGGUGGCGCAGCUGGCAGGGGAUAUCUCCAACACAGACUGGUCGCGUUUCCAUUGGAGAUGGUAACCAGAGGCCUUCUUUGGGGUUGACACUGUCUUGAGCGGUGGUGACUUCCAUGGCUGCAGAGGCCUCCCAGCCUGUUGAACAGAUGCCAAAAAUCCUGGAGGUGCAUUCGCUUUACGCAUUACCUGAGAACACAUGAUGAUACCAGCACAAGAAUCAGAAACUGUAUUGGCAUAGUCUACUUUAUUGCUAAGAAUGUAGAGGAUCUAGUGUGGUCCAAAAUUACAGUGAACUCUUUUGCGGGCCAGCUUUGUUUUCGUGAACAUUGAUACUAAAAUACAUAACUACUUUCAAGAUAGGAAAAUGAAGUUGAAACACCAGUAUAUACAUGGAGAAAAUUAAAGAAAAUGAAGGUAGGCGAUGCCACUUUUCCUGAAGGACUUCAAGAAAAUCAAAGGUGAGCGAAUGAUAAAUGCAGGAGUCGUACAGUGAGUACUCUGGUGAGAAAUGAUGUCCCACUCAAAGAUACAGCCUUCUCAAUAGAUUCCCUGUCAGCGAAUGUAAUACAUGCAGCCCUACAAAGAAAUCAUUCAAAAGCAUUAAUAACCGAAGGUUGCUAAAAGAUGCCCGAGGUAAAAUAAGCUCAAACAAUGUACCCUUUAGGGUGGCCAGUAAUGGCAUCUGUCAAAAUGUUAACCUUAAUCACAGUGCCACACUUCAUGAAAUGCAUUGACAAUGCUUCCUUUGUUGCCGCAAAAUGUACCUAAAAUAAUCGUCCAGAGCAGAUGUGCAGCUUAGAUUUCUUUAAUUCAGUUAAGAGUCAAAUUUAUAUUCUACAUAAUAACUCAAUGUAGGGAAAGCAGGGAUCCACUUUGACAUUAGAGAAAAGUGAAUGCUGUUUACAUACAUUUCUGACGAAAAUAGUUCUGGAGUCAGCAUCUUCUUCCGAAUUAGCAUAGGGCCCUACAGUAGAUCAAUACUUUGAUUGAACUUUAACACAUCCAUGAUACAUCAAGGGUACUAAUAGGCAAAGGCAAAAUACUGAGCUAGUACAAGAAAUUAUGUAAAAUAGGAGUACAUGCAACAAUUCACAUAGCACAGCAUUGCAACAUAUUAACUUGAGCUGGUUAACCUAUCAUAUAUCAACAAAUUAGACAACACGAUGGAGAAAGCAACAGUGUCUAAUUCGUUACGGUGUGAAAGUAGUUUCCAUUAUAAAAGAUAUUACGAAUCAUACAUUAUCAGUUUUAAGUGGUAAAAGACUAUAAAUAUUAGUUACAUUAUCAAGAUCCCCAUCCAAACGAAAAUCUCAAAUUUCUUAUGAAGUGACACCAGAUCUUAAUGGGCUAUUUAGUUCAGGAGUGGAGAUGUGAAUGGACCAUCCAAUCCUAAAGCACUUUCUGGGAUUGAGGAUUGAAAUCGGUCAGUCCAUCAACUCAUCCGUCACAGGAACAGAAAUACAGAAUCAUCUCACCAAAAUAAUGGAAUGAUCCCAUGGACCAACUCCUUCCAGGAUGAGUUGGUUCCACAAAGUCAACACCCAUAAUUGAGUGGUUCCAACAUGGACAUUUUUCCACAAAGAUCUACUGAAUAUAUUUGAUUUAAGCACAGAUCAAAUUUUGACCACUGUAAUGUCACAGUACUCUGCUAACAAGUGCACAAUGAGAUAGUGAAGCUUUCAGAUUGAACAGAGCCAGUUACUGCAAGGCAAACUGGAUUAGCGGAUGAUUUAACAAUGUUGCAAGUAGUACGAUUUUACAAUGAGAGUGAAGACUAAUUUGGAUUUGCCAUGCACAAUCAUAUUUCUUCCAUUGAUCAGAAUAUAUCAAUAUAUGCAUGCAUUACACUACAACAGAACUUGAAGUGUUUAACCAACUCAAGAAGCGGACAAGGCAUCCUAGUAGCCUAUGCAAGCAGUUGGUGGAGUACAAUUCAUGUGGAGAUGAAGUGUAUUGAAACUAGCCACUAGGUGUUGCCCAUGGCAAUUUUUGCUUCUGAUGACCGGACGGCAGCGGCAGCUUUAAUAGGCACCUUACACAGAGAGUGGGUGCUAUGUAAAGCAGUUCAGACUAUGCCCCUAAAACGACUGACAGGUGAUAGCAUCAGGAGUACUUAGCUGACUGGUGCACUAAGUGGAAGGAAAUAAUUAAUAGAGGAGGACUUGGAGGAGUGAAAGAUAAUAGAAACAGAAAAGUAAAUGGGGCUGGCUAAGCAACGGAUGAGCCAUGUCAAAAACCUUCUAAAGCACAUUUCUAUACAAGAAACUGCGCCGCCGGCACGUCCAACCGUGCUGCCCAUGCCAGCAAAAAAAAAUAACCGUUUGAUUGUUAUCUCACGGCAAUAAUUCACUGCACCGUCACAUGUUGGUGAGCCCCGUCGAAGCCUCUCGGCUGCUGCACAGGUGCAAGCGGAUAAAUGGGCCUGGCCCCUUUCUCUUCCUCUCUCUCCCUCUUUCUUUCCAUCGCUUGGUCUUUUUGUUGGGUGAAUUCUUGAUUUCUUGCUGCUUUCUCUUUGGUUCCUUGGUUUUGCCUUUUGCUGGCCUUUUUAGAUAUCAGUAAACGGGGCUGCCUUGGCCGGCGGCCAGCUAUGCCAAAGUAAUAUUUUUUACUCCGUCCAAUGGUUAAUCUACGGUGCAUGCUAUUAGUUGAGCAGUAUGGGUGGUCAACACAGUAAAAAAAUUAUCUAGGACCCAAACACUCUAAAGUUCGCAUCUCCUCCUUGUCUCUCGUCUUCAUCGCCUGCUCCACUGUCUGCUCUCUUCUUCCCCUCAGGUAGUCACCACCUUCUCCCUUCUUCUUUUUCCUUUUUUGAGAAACACAAUAUAGACGUAGACACUUAUAUACAUGCAAGCACACUCAUCCCUAUGAAUGAAUAUAUGCACGCAACCCUACCCCUAUGAGCACCUCCGACAGACUGAACCAACAGAUCCUCAAUAUUGACGAGGUCACCACGUAUGCCUCGUUAUCGACGAGCACGUCGUCUACCACUGAAAGAAUAGUGCCGGUUAAAUCCUGAAAUAUAAAUCCAAGAAAAUACGAGCACCCGUACCGAGUCGAGGACUCGAAUCUGGAUGGGCAGGUUCCACCACAAAGAACCAUACCUCAGUUCGUUCAUUCACAAGUUUUCUUUAUAAGAAUCAUGCACGAGUUAUUGCCAUUGUUUGGUUGGCUAGACUAGGCAACUAACCUCUAAGGUCUUCAUCCGUCACGUAAACCCUUUCCUCCC
rnacentral:lncRNA from 1 species